CCCCGGAGCUCUGCGCUCGCUGCCGUGGCCCCCGGGACAUCCAGCCUGAAGGAGAGUGGGGCAGGAAUUUUUCCGGGGCAAGACGCUUCAGCCUGCGAAGGCUGACCCCUCCCGAGCCGCUCGCAGGCCUCCAGAGUUGGGAGGAGAGCAGUCCAGACUACAGAAAAAGCACGGACAGAGGUGUGGAGAGGAGGCAGUCAGCGAGUUCUUGUAACUGGCCCAUUUGGAAUUAGAGACCAUCCUGAUCCUCACCAAUCCCCAUAGGAGUCUCCACUCCUCUAGUGGGAAUCCAGAGACUGGAGCCCAGCCUAUUCCAAAAUCCCACCACUGCCAGCCUGCAAUUCCAUUUUCCACUCCUCUGAAUGAAAGCACUGUUGUCUCCUGAAGGUCCCAGAGGGACACAAUAAAUGGAGAAGGUA